AUUGUAAGCUGCUCUAUCGCGGUUUCGCCUCUUCGGGGGUGGAAAUGAGGAAAGUCCGGACAACGUAGAGCGCCACGCCAUCUAACGGAUGGGCUUUCGCUGCAAGGCGGGAGACGGAAAGUGUCACAGAAAAGAUACCGCCGAUGCCGCUUCGGCGGCAGGUAAGGGUGAAAUCGUGCGGUAAGAGCGCACGCGGGGGUAGGGCAACCUACUUCGUGGAUAAACCCCGUGGGUUGAAAUGCCAUGUACACCUCGAUGCACUCUGCGGAGUUCGACGGGUUGCUCGCCUGUUUUUCUACUGAAAGUCGGGGGGGGUAGGCAGAUACACCCCGUUGGUGACGGCGGGGGUAGAUAAAUGAUAGAGGACCUGCGCAAGCGGGGGACAGAAUCCGGCUUACAGGCUUACAAUAUAU
rnacentral:RNase_P_RNA from 1 species